UACGGAGGGUGCAAGCGUUAUCCGGAUUCACUGGGUUUAAAGGGUGCGUAGGCGGGCAGGUAAGUCAGUGGUGAAAUCCCCGAGCUUAACUUGGGAACUGCCGUUGAUACUAUCUGUCUUGAAUGUUGUGGAGGUAAGCAGAAUAUGUCAUGUAGCGGUGAAAUGCUUAGAUAUGACAUAGAAUACCUAUUGCGAAGGCAGCUUACUACGCAGAUAUUGACGCUCAUGCACGAAAGCGUGGGGAUCAAACAGG
rnacentral:rRNA from 1 species